UACGGGGGGGGGCAAGCGUUGUUCGGAAUCACUGGGCUUAAAGGGCGCGUAGGCGGGUGCUCAAGUCUGUGGUGAAAUCCUCCGGCUCAACCGGAGAACUGCCAUGGAUACUGGGUGUCUCGAGGGUGGUAGGGGUAUGCGGAACUAUCGGUGGAGCGGUGAAAUGCGUUGAUAUCGAUAGGAACUCCGGUGGCGAAGGCGACAUACUGGACCACUUCUGACGCUGAGGCGCGAAAGCCAGGGGAGCGAACGGG
rnacentral:rRNA from 1 species